rnacentral:rRNA from 1 species
UACAGAGGGGGCAAGCGUUAUUCGGAAUUAUUGGGCGUAAAGGGCGCGUAGGCGGCUUUUCAAGUGACGGGUGAAAUCCCCGAGCUCAACUCGGGAACUGCGUCCGAUACUGACAGGCUUGAAUCCGGGAGAGGGAUGCGGAAUUCCAGGUGUAGCGGUGAAAUGCGUAGAUAUCUGGAGGAACACCGGUGGCGAAGGCGGCAUCCUGGACCGGCAUUGACGCUGAGGCGCGAAAGCUAGGGGAGCAAACGGG